GAUGAACGCUGGCGGCGUGCCUAAUACAUGCAAGUCGAGCGAACAGAUAAGGAGCUUGCUCCUUUGACGUUAGCGGCGGACGGGUGAGUAACACGUGGGUAACCUACCUAUAAGACUGGGAUAACUUCGGGAAACCGGAGCUAAUACCGGAUAAUAUUUCGAACCGCAUGGUUCGAUAGUGAAAGAUGGUUUUGCUAUCACUUAUAGAUGGACCCGCGCCGUAUUAGCUAGUUGGUAAGGUAACGGCUUACCAAGGCGACGAUACGUAGCCGACCUGAGAGGGUGUUCGGCCACACUGGAACUGAGACACGGUCCAGACUCCUACGGGAGGCAGCAGUAGGGAAUCUUCCGCAAUGGGCGAAAGCCUGACGGAGCAACGCCGCGUGAGUGAUGAAGGUCUUCGGAUCGUAAAACUCUGUUAUUAGGGAAGAACAUACGUGUAAGUAACUGUGCACGUCUUGACGGUACCUAAUCAGAAAGCCACGGCUAACUACGU
rnacentral:rRNA from 1 species